GAGCCGCCGUGACGUCACGGGCCACCCGCCAGCCCCGCGCUCUACCAGGCAGAGCGCGUGUGGCCGCCGAGCACAUGGACCCACUGGUCAAGCGGGCUCGGCAAGGCCAGGAUGAAGAGAAGCUACGAACUUAGCAUUCCCAGAGCCCCCCGAGUGGAUAUCCGCGUGGAAAGGAUGUUGGCAGCCCCGGUGACCUCGGAGUCACGGCUGGAUCCACCCUCUUUAUACCCUUUAAGCGUUCCAGAAGGAUUUUGAGAUCCUUUCCUAAAUCAAAGGUGGAAUAUUUGGGGAUUUGGAAAAUUGAGCAUUUUUUUCCCCACUUGCUUGACUGUAAUGCUAACAUGCUCUCUCUGCUCCAACCUGGAGAAGCCAGUCUCUCAGAAGAACCAGUUGUGUUACUUUGCUGUGAGAUGCCUGCCCUAAGAGAGGAGCAGAAGGUCGGAACGGGUCCUCUAAUGUGAUAAUUAGAUGUGAAGCGUUGACUUAAGAGAUGCCAAGUAACUCAGCAGAUGUCACACAGACGAUAAAUAGCAAAGAUGGAAGUCUUCAUGCCGGAGGCAAUCCUAUAAGACAGCUGAGUUCUGCAGAGCUGGUAGGAGACAGACUUGCUCAGGUGAUAGAUCCAGCCAUGAUACUGACCCUAAGAGAAUGAGACGCUCUGCAGAAGACAGAAGAUUCCUGAAACUGGGAAAGGUGCCUAGAAAUCCUGAUAAGAGUGAAGAAGGGUACCUGGAGGCACAGCAGCCAUGUUGAACCUAUGAGGUGAUGAAAAACCAUGCAACUAGAAACCAGAAUGGAAGAAAAGAAGAAGCUGGAUCCUUGACUGAAUUGUCGAUGGGGGAUAGUCCAUCAUCCCAGGGCUAAGACCACCUCCAGAUUUCUUGUUUGGUGAAACAAGUCCUGAUUGUUUACAUUCCCUCGUGUUGAGCUGUCUCUUGCUUGUAGCUGAAAGCAUUUCUAAUAGAUAUUCAGAUUAUCAGCCUUAGCUCCAAGCUAGAAUACUCUAUGGGACCUUAGCUUCUCCAUGAAUUCCUUUGCUCAUCUGUGUAAUGCUCAAUAAAUGUAAAUUGAACCCUGAAUGAGGGACAAUGACACUA
rnacentral:lncRNA from 1 species